UACGGAGGGGGCUAGCGUUGUUCGGAAUUACUGGGCGUAAAGCGCACGUAGGCGGCUUUGUAAGUUAGAGGUGAAAGCCCAGAGCUCAACUCUGGAACUGCCUUUAAGACUGCAUCGCUUGAAUCAUGGAGAGGUCAGUGGAAUUCCGAGUGUAGAGGUGAAAUUCGUAGAUAUUCGGAAGAACACCAGUGGCGAAGGCGACUGAUUGGACAUGUAUUGACGCUGAGGUGCGAAAGCGUGGGGAGCAAACAGG
rnacentral:rRNA from 1 species